CAGUCGCCGCGGUAAUACGAAGGGGGCUAGCGUUGCUCGGAAUUACUGGGCGUAAAGGGAGCGUAGGCGGAUCGUUUAGUUGGGGGUGAAAUCCCGGGGCUCAACCUCGGAACUGCCUUCAAUACUGGCGAUCUUGAGUAUGGGAGAGGUGUGUGGAACUCCGAGUGUAGAGGUGAAAUUCGUAGAUAUUCGGAAGAACACCAGUGGCGAAGGCGACACACUGGCCCAUUACUGACGCUGAGGCUCGAAAGCGUGGGGAGCAAACAGGAUUAGAUACCCCAGUAGUCCCUGUCUCUUAUAA
rnacentral:rRNA from 1 species